CGCUAUGACAUUACUAUAAUAAAUGCCCUUCUGAUAUGGUAAAUGGAGAAACCUCGUUAUCUUUCGUGACGAUGCGAUGGAGAAAAAGUCGACGGGACUACCUCACUGGGUUUGAUUUUGUUAUGCAAAUCGUGUAUUGGUGGAAGGGGAAGUUAUUGAUCCUGACCUUGAGGGUUAAGGCUGGUGAGAGAAGAAACCACUUUGGAUAUGCAUGCAAAUGAAAUCUCGGCUCUUAUUGGUCAGUGGUCAGUUUUGAGGUUAUGCACGUCACACGCAGUCUGGCGUAGCGCGUACACCGAAC